UGAAAGUGGGUGUUUGCCAGGUGAGGAUGU
rnacentral:piRNA from 1 species